rnacentral:lncRNA from 1 species
AUGUUAGAAUGAAGUGAAUUUAGAACUUCCUCACCUGAGUUGGAUGACAUAGGGAUUUGAGGAGCUUGCAGCAAAAAUUCUUCUAAACUGCCCAGGUCGUCCUCCUCUUCUUCUGCUUGCAGCAGCAAUUCAUCCAUGUUCGGGUUGUGUUUGGAUGGUUCUGGGACAGCUUCAUCCUUCAUGUCACCUUCCAAAGUGAUGGCUU